rnacentral:lncRNA from 1 species
UGAUCCAUAGUCCUCGAUCUAUGAUAUGACGAUGUGAUAUGUACGGUACGGAAUGUAAGACCAGUGGGACCCAUUCUACGUUCGCUGGCACUAUGUAAGGGAAAGACCAGGACCCAUUCUACGUUCUGGCACAGUUGGAUACUGUUAUGUUAUGAUAUGUAAGGGAAAGACCAGGACCCAUUCUACGUUCUGGCACAGUUGGACCAUGUAGAGGGC